UACGUAGGGUGCGAGCGUUAAUCGGAAUUACUGGGCGUAAAGCGUGCGCAGGCGGUUCGUUGUGUCGGCGGUGAAAGCCCCGGGCUUAACCUGGGAAUGGCCGUUGAAACUGGCGAACUGGAGUGUGGCAGAGGGGGGGUAGAAUUCCACGUGUAGCAGUGAAAUGCGUAGAUAUGUGGAGGAACACCGAUGGCGAAGGCAGCCCCCUGGGUCAAAACUGACGCUCAUGCACGAAAGCGUGGGGAGCAAACAGG
rnacentral:rRNA from 1 species